UAUUAACAGGCUAAUGUGAUAAAUGAGUCUAUACUAAAAUGUUAAAAAUUUUGUCUUGUCUUUCAAACAAAUUGAUAAAAUUUCAAGCUUGAAAGCUUGAACCCAAAGGCUUAGCUAAAAUGGGAAUUUCUAGCCCAAAGGAGCAGGAUGUUCUGAGAUGUUCCUCACAUCACCAUCAUGCCAUGGAGGCAGCCGCUGGGAGGGCCUGUGUGUGAGCUGGCCCCAGUCUGUGCCCAAUAAAAAAUCUAGAAGGAUCAACUCAUCUAUGUAGCAAAAUAGUGAGAAGAUUUAUAGGUAGCGGUGAAAAGCCUAACGAGCCUGGUGAUAGCUGGUUACCCAUAAACAGAAUUUUAGUUCAACUUUAAAUUUACCUAAAAAAUUAAAAUUUUAAUGUAAAUUUAAAAUAUAAUCUAAAGAGGUACAGCUUUUUACAAUAAGGAUACAACCUUCCUUAGAGAGUACAUGUUAAUAUCACCAUAGUUGGCCUAAAAGCAGCCAUCAAUUGAGAAAGCGUUCAAGCUCAACAAACAAUAUGACUUAAUUCCAACCGUAUUCAAUCAACUCCUAAUAUGCCACUGGGUUAUUCUAUUUAAAUAUAGAAGCAAUAAUGCUAAUAUGAGUAACAGGAAUUAUUUCUCCCUGCAUAAGCGUAUAUCAGAAACAGAUAAACCACUGAUAGUUAACAACCUGAUAAAACUAACCCAAAAAUAAAAUACUUAUCAAUUCCAUUGUUAACCCAACACAGGUAUGCACCCAAGGAAAGAUUAAAAGAAGUAAAAGGAACUCGGCAAACAUAAACCCCGCCUGUUUACCAAAAACAUCACCUCCAGCAUCCCCAGUAUUGGAGACACUGCCUGCCCAGUGACAUUUGUUCAACAGCCGCGGUAUCCUGACCAUGCAAAGGUAGCAUAAUCAUUUGUUCUCUAAAUAAGAACUUGUAUGAAUGUACACGAGGGUUUGACUGGCUCUUACUUCCAAUCAGUGAAAUUGACCUUGCCGUGAAGAGGCGGGAAUAACAUAAUAAGAUGAGAAGACCCUAUGGAGCUUUAAUGAAUUAACCCAAAUUCAUGAGUAAUAUAUACCUACUAGGCAUAACAUUUCACCAUUGUUAUGGGUUGACAAUUUAGGUUGGGGUGACCUCGGAAUAUAAAAAAACUUCCAAGUGAUUAAAAUGUAGACUUACCAGUCAAAAUAUAAUAUCAUUUAUUGAUCCAAUAGUCUUUGAUCAACGGAACAAGUUACCCUAGGGAUAACAGCACAAUCCUAUUCAAGAGUUCAUAUCGACAAUAGGGUUUACGACCUCAAUGUUGGAUCAGGACAUCCUAAUGGUGCAGCAGCUAUUAAGGGUUCGUUUGUUCAACGAUUAAAGUCCUACAUGAUCUGAGUUCAGACCGGAGUAAUCCAGGUUGGUUUCUAUCUAUUUAACAAUUUCUCCCAGUACGAAAGGACAAGAGAAAUAAGGCCUACCUUACAAAAGUGUCUUAAAACUAAUAGAUGAAAUUAAGCUCAAUCUAACCAGUUUAUCUCCCCAUAAGCCCAAGAAAGGAGGGCUUUGUUAGGGUGACAGAGCCCGGUAAUUGUGUAAAACUUCAACCUUUAUCCCCAGAGGUUCGACUCCUCUCCCUAACAUCAUGUUCUUUAUCAAUAUUAUCUCAGUAAUUGUUCCAAUUCUCCUCGCCGUAGCCUUUCUUACUCUUGUUGAAUGAAAAGUCCUAGGCUAUAUACAACUCCGAAAAGGCCCCAAUAUUAGGAAACAAACUGAGGGUUGCUGGAGGGGAGGUAGGUGGGGGGAAAGGAUAAUUGAGUGAUGGGCAUUAAGGAAGGCACUGGAUAUAAUGAGUACUGAGUGUUAUAUGCAAUUGAUGAAUCACUAAAUUCUACCUCUGAAACUUAAAAUAAAAAUAAAAUUUUAAAAAUAGUCCACAUUCUGUGGCAUUUAAAAAACAAAAUAAAAAUUCUACAAAUUUUUUUU
rnacentral:rRNA from 1 species